rnacentral:rRNA from 1 species
UACAGAGACUGCAAGCGUUACUCGGAUUCACUGGGCGUAAAGGGAGCGCAGGCGGACCGGUGUGUCAGAUGUGAAACCCCAGGGCUCAACCCUGGGACUGCGUCUGAAACUGCCGGUCUAGGGACUCGGAGGGGCUAGUGGAAUUCCUGGUGUAGCGGUGGAAUGCGCAGAUAUCAGGAGGAACACCAAUAGCGAAGGCAGCUCGCUGGGACGUACUGACACUGAGGCGCGGAAAGCGUGGGGAGCGAACAGG